rnacentral:rRNA from 1 species
AGCAGUCGCCACGGUAAUACGUAGGUGGCAAGCGUUGUCCGGAAUUAUUGGGCGUAAAGGGCUCGCAGGCGGUUUCAUAAGUCUGAUGUGAAAGCCCCCGGCUCAACCGGGGAGGGUCAUUGGAAACUGGGAAACUUGAGUGCAGAAGAGGAGAGUGGAAUUCCACGUGUAGCGGUGAAAUGCGUAGAGAUGUGGAGGAACACCAGUGGCGAAGGCGGCUUACAGGCUCGAAACUGACGCUGAGGCGCGAAAGCGUGGGGAGCAAACAGGAUUAGAUACCCCCGUAGUCCCUGUCUCUUAUAA